rnacentral:rRNA from 1 species
UACGGGGGGGCAAGCGUUGUUCGGAAUUACUGGGCGUAAAGGCUCGUAGGCGGCCAACUAAGUCGGAUGUGAAAUCCCCAGGCUUAACCUGGGAACUGCAUCCGAUACUGGAUGGCUUGAAUCCGGGAGAGGGAUGCAGAAUUCCAGGUGUAGCGGUGAAAUGACGUAGAUAUCUGGAGGAAUACCGGUGGCGAAGGCGGCAUCCUGGACCGGCAUUGACGCUGAUGAGCGAAAGCUAGGGGAGCAAACGGGA